rnacentral:rRNA from 1 species
GAGUUUGAUCCUGGCUCAGAUUGAACGCUGGCGGCAUGCCUUACACAUGCAAGUCGAACGGCAGCACGGAGCUUGCUCUGGUGGCGAGUGGCGAACGGGUGAGUAAUAUAUCGGAACGUACCCUAGAGUGGGGGAUAACGUAGCGAAAGUUACGCUAAUACCGCAUACGAUCUAAGGAUGAAAGUGGGGGAUCGCAAGACCUCAUGCUCGUGGAGCGGCCGAUAUCUGAUUAGCUAGUUGGUAGGGUAAAAGCCUACCAAGGCAUCGAUCAGUAGCUGGUCUGAGAGGACGACCAGCCACACUGGAACUGAGACACGGUCCAGACUCCUACGGGAGGCAGCAGUGGGGAAUUUUGGACAAUGGGCGAAAGCCUGAUCCAGCAAUGCCGCGUGAGUGAAGAAGGCCUUCGGGUUGUAAAGCUCUUUUGUCAGGGAAGAAACGGUGAGAGCUAAUAUCUCUGCUAAUGACGG